CCAAAAGCCACAGUCCCUGCUUUCCAGAAGGUCAUGAAACAAGGAGUGGAAAAUAUUCCCUAGAAGACAGAGCUGGAUGACCUCGACCAUGAAGAACAUUGCAAAGAAACGACCGGGCUUGUCUGGGAUUCUCUUCAUUCUGAAGUUGAAUCUGAUCUGACAGAUGUGUGACCAUGAGAAGUUGGAAGAUGGCACAGGAAGCAAUGUGCUGAUGCUGUCUUUCAUUCCUCAGACAGAUCAGAAGAAACAGAGCACAGCAGAUUUGGAAUCAGAAAAUCUGCCACUCACUAUGUAGGUGCCAUUGAAAAAGUGAGCUAACCUCAGUUUCCCCACACAUAAAACGAGAAAAUAAAAGUAUCAAUCUUACAUAUGCUUCUAUGAGGAUAGAAGAAAAUAAUAUGUGUUAAGUACUCAACAAUAAAUGUCACUGAGUAAACUGCAGGGCAUUUUCACCAUUUUUUUUUUUAAAUCAGUGAGAACCUAGUGGCAAAGUGCUAUAUUCUCUCUAAAAUAAACAGAGAAUUUCAGAUACUCCACCUGGAUACAAUUCCAACUCUAUCAUUAAUUCUCCAUGUGACCCACAUAUUUCACCUCUUAGGUCCUUGCUUUCCUAAUUGGUAAAAUGAGUUAAUUAGACAAGCUGAUCUUUCUAGGUAUGCUUCUGGGACCACUAAUAUCCGUAUCGCUAACCAAACGGAAAACAAAGUUUUAGAAGCAAAUUGCUUCCUGAGAACAAUUCAGUUAUCGCCUAAUCUAAAAUACUACCAUGGUAAAAAGAACAUCUUCAACGUAUACAUUUGUUUGAAAAUCCCUCCCUUUAGGAAGAUAUAUUUGUUUCUAAUGGUUCUGCUAACCACAUGCCUGAGGUGAGGCAAAAGAAUUUUUAAAAACUCAAUAGAAUCAGACAUUUCUCCAAAGAAGAAAUACAAAUGGCCAAUAAGCACAUGAAAAAAUGUUCAACAUCUAGACAUUAGGGAAAUGCAAACCAAAGCCACCAUGAGAUAGUUCCUCACUGCUACUUGAAAAACUAUAAUAUAAAAGAUGCACAAA
rnacentral:lncRNA from 1 species